UGGGGAAUAUUGGACAAUGGGCGCAAGCCUGAUCCAGCCAUGCCGCGUGUGUGAAGAAGGCCUUUUGGUUGUAAAGCACUUUAAGCGAGGAGGAGGCUACUGAGAUUAAUACUCUUGGAUAGUGGACGUUACUCGCAGAAUAAGCACCGGCUAACUCUGUGCCAGCAGCCGCGGUAAUACAGAGGGUGCGAGCGUUAAUCGGAUUUACUGGGCGUAAAGCGUGCGUAGGCGGCUUUUUAAGUCGGAUGUGAAAUCCCUGAGCUUAACUUAGGAAUUGCAUUCGAUACUGGGAAGCUAGAGUAUGGGAGAGGAUGGUAGAAUUCCAGGUGUAGCGGUGAAAUGCGUAGAGAUCUGGAGGAAUACCGAUGGCGAAGGCAGCCAUCUGGCCUAAUACUGACGCUGAGGUACGAAAGCAUGGGGAGCAAACAGG
rnacentral:rRNA from 1 species